UUUAAAGAGAAGAAUUAACAAAUUCUUUAUCUUCUAUUUUCUCAAGGUCUCAAGUUGAUAUUCUAAAAUCUAUGAUUUUAAAAUCAAGCAACAAUGAAAUAGAAGAUUUAUCCUUCACUUCACUUGAUGAAGAAUCAACUUGACCUUGGCACAACCACUUUAAACUUUGAACCAAGAGCUAAUCUGGGAAAGAUGCAAGAAUAAUGGAAAGUCCUUCCUCAAGACGGAACAGUGGCAGCAAAUCAAGGGCCUUAGAACAACAUUGACAGAGAGGAUAACAUACCACCAAAGAUCCAUACCAGGAAGGUUAGCCGUAUCCCAACACGUGGGUGUAGGAAGAGGAUGGUGGUGAAAAAAUGAUACGAAAAUGAAACCAGGAAGGAGAAGACCACCCAGAAAGUAAUCACAAUUAACUAACAUAGAACCACAAAAAGUCUUGGUAAUAGGGAUACAAGUGAAUUCUGAGAAUUCUGAGAAUAGAGAGGAAAGACUAUACUUUUAGAAAUGGCUAACUCUUAAAUCGUUGGUGGACUAAGUUAUGUGAUGUUCUGAGGUCAUAAGUUGCUUAUUAAAUAUGAGAAGGAAUAAUCCAAAAAGUUUGGGAAAGAAGCUUUAUUUGAGGAAUAUUUAUCAUGGACAACCUGUCCAAUUAGCUCUUAAGCUCUGAGAAAUGAAUCCAAAGAUUUCUUGAGGCCAACAUACUAAG
rnacentral:lncRNA from 1 species